UUAUGGCCAUAUCAUGUUGAAAUACCGGUUCUCAUCCAAUUACCGAAGUUAAGCAAAGUUGAAUUUGGUCAGUACCUCGAUGGGCGACCGCUCGGAAAAUCUA